CCCUGCAGCAGAGGAGGGAUCGUGCCCGGAGUCCCAAGCCCGCUGUGGCCGGAGCAGGAGCGGCAGCAUCAGGCUCGGCCCAGCACCCGUCCCCGAGUGGCUCCGGCUGCCCGCGGAAGAGCAGCCAAGCUGCAGGAUGAAGGUGGCAGAUUAAAAUAGAAGAACAAAGACCCACAGGAUGAGGGGGUCCCUGGGAAGAGAAAACUGAUACCGAAGUCCGGAAACUGACCAAAGGACUAAGAAGAGAGCAUGCGCAAGAAUACAAGGUGAAAAGUUCAAACUGAGAGGAAGACGACUUUACUUCAUCUGAAGACCCCCAAAGACCACCAGAGCGACCCAAAAGGAACAAUGCGCAGUCGCAAGGAGGCGUGAAGCGGGGAUAGGCAAUGAAUAUGUAUUAGGCGAACUGUAUAUUCCUAGUUUGUAGAGAAUAAAAGGCAAGGCGCAGGUCGCCAAAGGUGUGCAUGCUUUUGGAGCAGUUAUCCCCCAUGCACCCAGCGCUGAAUAAAUACAUACCUACUCUUAUAACUUA